rnacentral:rRNA from 1 species
UUAAGCGACUAAGCGUACACGGUGGAUGCCCUGGCAGUCAGAGGCGAUGAAGGACGUGCUAAUCUGCGAAAAGCGUCGGUAAGGUGAUAUGAACCGUUACAGCCGGCGAUGUCCGAAUGGGGAAACCCAGUGCAAUUCGUUGCACUAUCGUUAACUGAAUACAUAGGUUAACGAGGCGAACCGGGGGAACUGAAACAUCUAAGUACCCCGAGGAAAAGAAAUCAACCGAGAUUCCCCCAGUAGCGGCGAGCGAACGGGGAGCAGCCCAGAGUCUGAAUCAGCUUGUGUGUUAGUGGAACGGUCUGGAAAGUCCGACGGUACAGGGUGAUAGUCCCGUACACCAAAAUGCACAGGUUGUGAACUCGAAGAGUAGGGCGGGACACGUGGUAUCCUGUCUGAAUAUGGGGGGACCAUCCUCCAAGGCUAAAUACUCCUGACUGACCGAUAGUGAACCAGUACCGUGAGGGAAAGGCGAAAAGAACCCCGGCGAGGGGAGUGAAAAAGAACCUGAAACCGUGUACGUACAAGCAGUGGGAGCACCUUCGGGUGUGACUGCGUACCUUUUGUAUAAUGGGUCAGCGACUUAUAUUCUGUAGCAAGGUUAACCGUAUAGGGGAGCCGCAGGGAAACCGAGUCUUAACUGGGCGUUAAGUUGCAGGGUAUAGACCCGAAACCCGGUGAUCUAGCCAUGGGCAGGUUGAAGGUUGGGUAACACUAACUGGAGGACCGAACCGACUAAUGUUGAAAAAUUAGCGGAUGACUUGUGGCUGGGGGUGAAAGGCCAAUCAAACCGGGAGAUAGCUGGUUCUCCCCGAAAGCUAUUUAGGUAGCGCCUCGUGAACUCAUCUUCGGGGGUAGAGCACUGUUUCGGCUAGGGGGUCAUCCCGACUUACCAACCCGAUGCAAACUACGAAUACCGAAGAAUGUUAUCACGGGAGACACACGGCGGGUGCUAACGUCCGUCGUGAAGAGGGAAACAACCCAGACCGCCAGCUAAGGUCCCAAAGUCAUGGUUAAGUGGGAAACGAUGUGGGAAGGCACAGACAGCCAGGAUGUUGGCUUAGAAGCAGCCAUCAUUUAAAGAAAGCGUAAUAGCUCACUGGUCGAGUCGGCCUGCGCGGAAGAUGUAACGGGGCUAAACCAUGCACCGAAGCUGCGGCAGCGACACUAUGUGUUGUUGGGUAGGGGAGCGUUCUGUAAGCCUGCGAAGGUGUGCUGUGAGGCAUGCUGGAGGUAUCAGAAGUGCGAAUGCUGACAUAAGUAACGAUAAAGCGGGUGAAAAGCCCGCUCGCCGGAAGACCAAGGGUUCCUGUCCAACGUUAAUCGGGGCAGGGUGAGUCGACCCCUAAGGCGAGGCCGAAAGGCGUAGUCGAUGGGAAACAGGUUAAUAUUCCUGUACUUGGUGUUACUGCGAAGGGGGGACGGAGAAGGCUAUGUUAGCCGGGCGACGGUUGUCCCGGUUUAAGCAUGUAGGCUGGUUAUCCAGGCAAAUCCGGAUAAUCAAGGCUGAGGUGUGAUGACGAGGCACUACGGUGCUGAAGUAACAAAUGCCCUGCUUCCAGGAAAAGCCUCUAAGCAUCAGGUAACAUCAAAUCGUACCCCAAACCGACACAGGUGGUCAGGUAGAGAAUACCAAGGCGCUUGAGAGAACUCGGGUGAAGGAACUAGGCAAAAUGGUGCCGUAACUUCGGGAGAAGGCACGCUGGUGUGUAGGUGAAGUCCCUGCGGAUGGAGCUGAGACCAGUCGAAGAUACCAGCUGGCUGCAACUGUUUAUUAAAAACACAGCACUGUGCAAACACGAAAGUGGACGUAUACGGUGUGACGCCUGCCCGGUGCCGGAAGGUUAAUUGAUGGGGUUAUCCGUAAGGAGAAGCUCUUGAUCGAAGCCCCGGUAAACGGCGGCCGUAACUAUAACGGUCCUAAGGUAGCGAAAUUCCUUGUCGGGUAAGUUCCGACCUGCACGAAUGGCGUAAUGAUGGCCAGGCUGUCUCCACCCGAGACUCAGUGAAAUUGAACUCGCUGUGAAGAUGCAGUGUACCCGCGGCAAGACGGAAAGACCCCGUGAACCUUUACUAUAGCUUGACACUGAACAUUGAGCCUUGAUGUGUAGGAUAGGUGGGAGGCUUUGAAGCGUGGACGCCAGUCUGCGUGGAGCCAACCUUGAAAUACCACCCUUUAAUGUUUGAUGUUCUAACGUUGGCCCCUUACCGGGGUUGCGGACAGUGUCUGGUGGGUAGUUUGACUGGGGCGGUCUCCUCCCAAAGCGUAACGGAGGAGCACGAAGGUUAGCUAAUCCUGGUCGGACAUCAGGAGGUUAGUGCAAUGGCAUAAGCUAGCUUGACUGCGAGCGUGACGGCGCGAGCAGGUGCGAAAGCAGGUCAUAGUGAUCCGGUGGUUCUGAAUGGAAGGGCCAUCGCUCAACGGAUAAAAGGUACUCCGGGGAUAACAGGCUGAUACCGCCCAAGAGUUCAUAUCGACGGCGGUGUUUGGCACCUCGAUGUCGGCUCAUCACAUCCUGGGGCUGAAGUAGGUCCCAAGGGUAUGGCUGUUCGCCAUUUAAAGUGGUACGCGAGCUGGGUUUAGAACGUCGUGAGACAGUUCGGUCCCUAUCUGCCGUGGGCGCUGGAGAAUUGAGGGGGGCUGCUCCUAGUACGAGAGGACCGGAGUGGACGCAUCACUGGUGUUCGGGUUGUCAUGCCAAUGGCACUGCCCGGUAGCUAAAUGCGGAAGAGAUAAGUGCUGAAAGCAUCUAAGCACGAAACUUGCCCCGAGAUGAGUUCUCCCUGAGACUUUAAGUCUCCUGAAGGAACGUUGAAGACGACGACGUUGAUAGGCCGGGUGUGUAAGCGCAGCGAUGCGUUGAGCUAACCGGUACUAAUGAACCGUGAGGCUUAACCUU